CCCGUACUUGGUGUUACUGCGAAGGGGGGACGGAGAAGGCUAUGUUGGCCGGGCGACGGUUGUCCCGGUUUAAGCGUGUAGGUGUGUGUUCCAGGUAAAUCCGGUUCACUUUAACACUGAGGCGUGACGACGAGGCACUACGGUGCUGAAGCAACAAAUGCCCUGCUUCCAGGAAAAGCCUCUAAGCAUCAGGUAACACGAAAUCGUACCCCAAACCGACACAGGUGGUCAGGUAGAGAAUAC
rnacentral:rRNA from 1 species